AACGCUAGCGGCAGGCCUAACACAUGCAAGCCGAGGGGUAAGGCUCUUUCGGGAGUACACGACCGGCGCACGGGUGAGUAACGCGUAUGCAACCUACCUGUAACAGUGGGGAUAGCCCCGGGGGAAACCCCGGAUUAAUGCCCCAUAACACCAUUUUACCGCAUGGCAAGAUGGUCAAAACUACGGCGGUUAAAGAUGGGUAUGCGUGACAUUAGCUUGUUGGUGAGGUAACGGCUCACCAAGGCAACGAUGUCUAUGGGGUCUUAAAGGAUGAUCCCACACACUGGUACUGAGACACGGACCAGACUCCUACGGGAGGCAGCAGUGAGGAAUAUUGGUCAAUGGACGAAAGUCUGAACCAGCCAUGCCGCGUGCAGGAUGACAGCCCUACGGGUCGUAAACUGCUUUUAUUCAGGAAGAAACUCUCUGACGUGUCAGAGACUGACGGUACUGAACGAAUAAGGAUCGGCUAACUCCGUGCCAGCAGCCGCGGUAAUACGGAGGAUCCAAGCGUUAUCCGGAUUUAUUAGGUUUAAAGGGUGUGCAGGCGGGAUAAUAAGUCAGUGGUGAAAUCCUGCGGCUUAACCGCAGAACUGCCAUUGAAACUAUUGUUCUUGAGUUCAGUUGAGGCAGGCGGAAUGUGUAAUGUAGCGGUGAAAUGCAUAGAUAUUACACAGAACACCGAUUGCGAAGGCAGCUUGCUAAACUGACACUGACGCUGAUUCACGAAAGCGUGGGGAGCGAACAGGAUUAGAUACCCUGGUAGUCCACGCCGUAAACGAUGCUCACUGGUUGUUGGCGCUACAUUGUCAGCGACUGAGGGAAACCAUUAAGUGAGCCACCUGGGGAGUACGUCGGCAACGAUGAAACUCAAAGGAAUUGACGGGGGCCCGCACAAGCGGUGGAACAUGUGGUUUAAUUCGAUGAUACGCGAGGAACCUUACCUGGGCUUAAAUGCAGAGUGCAUGAGUAUGAAAAUAUUCUUUCCUUCGGGACUCUUUGCAAGGUGCUGCAUGGCUGUCGUCAGCUCGUGCCGUGAGGUGUCGGGUUAAGUCCCAUAACGAGCGCAACCCCUAUUCUUAGUUGCCAGCGGGUAAUGCCGGGAACUCUAAGGAGACUGCCAGCGUAAGCUGUGAGGAAGGUGGGGAUGACGUCAAGUCAGCACGGCCCUUACGUCCCGGGCUACACACGUGUUACAAUGGCCAGUACAAAGGGCAGCUACCGGGCAACCGGAUGCGAAUCUCUAAAGCUGGUCUCAGUUCGGAUUGAAGUCUGCAACUCGACUUCAUGAAGCUGGAAUCGCUAGUAAUCGCGCAUCAGCAACGGCGCGGUGAAUACGUUCCCGGGCCUUGUACACACCGCCCGUCAAGCCAUGGGAGUUUGGGGUACCUGAAGUCC
rnacentral:rRNA from 1 species